rnacentral:lncRNA from 1 species
UCCGAUAUCUCCCAGCCUGAGGCAGACACCUGCUGCCCAGUUCCAUGAAUUACAUGGGAAUUGGUGGGCACUGGAAUUUCACCAUCCUUUGAGCCUCUGACAGUGGCUCUGAUCUCUGCAAUUCCUCCAGGAAGGCAGGAUGGAUUUACUAAUUUGGUAGGAAUGGGGAGGGGUGUUCAGAGCCUUCCAGUUGAUGGUCCCUAAUUCAGUGGCUCUGACUUCACAGGUUAAGGAACCAGUGAUGGUUUCUGCCAGCUGCCAGCUCUGCCCAUCCCAAUUAUACACCUGGAGACCCAUAGGCCCUUGUGAGACGGACAUGGG